UACGUAGGGCGCGAGCGUUAUCCGGAAUUAUUGGGCGUAAAGAGCUUGUAGGCGGUUUGUCGCGUCUGCUGUGAAAAGUUCGGGCUUAACCCGGACCGUGCAGUGGGUACGGGCUGACUGGAGUGCAGUAGGGGAGACUGGAAUUCCUGGUGUAGCGGUGAAAUGCGCAGAUAUCAGGAGGAACACCGAUGGCGAAGGCAGGUCUCUGGGCUGUUACUGACGCUGAGAAGCGAAAGCAUGGGGAGCGAACAGG
rnacentral:misc_RNA from 1 species